CCCAAUCCAAUAAAACCCCAAACAAAUAACCAAUUAACAAUAGACCAAAUUCCAAAUAAACAAUAUGCAAUUGAUAUAAUCCAAAUAUCCCAACUUAAUCACCAAAUGCAAUAUAACCACAAACCCAAAUUAACAAAUUUCAAAUUAAUCCACCAAUAAUAAAUUAACCCAAAUUUUCUAUUAAUUCUUCAAUGACAAAUUAACUCAAAUUUCAUAUUAAUUUACCAAUAAAAAAUUAACAUAAAUUACAUGCUAAUUAAUAAAGCUCAAAUAUAAAACCCACAAAUAAACAUAAAUGCACAAGCCCAAUUUCAACAACAAUUAUUAUUAAAAUCAAAUAAAGAAAAAAUAGUAAUAAUAAUAAUAACAAUGAUAAUAAUAAUAAUAAUAAUAAUAAUAAUAAUAAUAAUAAUAAUAAUAAUAAUAAUAAUAAUUGACUGUCCCAAAAAUGGAUGGAAGAAGAGGAAAUCCCCGACUGCCGGAAAUAAUGCCAACGGCGGCAGCUCGCCGACGACAACUAACCGAUUGUGGAUAUGGAGAUGGGUUUCAUGGGAAAUAAAAAGAAACGAAAAAGAAAAAAGAAAUGGAAUGACAAAAAAAAUGAGGGGGGCAUGUGGCAAUGGGUGUUCUAAAGGAGAAAAAAAAAACUAGAAAAAAAAAAAGGAAAAAUCUGGGGGGUUCCCUAGCAGUUUGUGUGGGAGUUAGGGAGGAAAAUUGGAGAAAGAAAAGAAAAAUCAGAGAAAAUGGGGAUCAAUCGUAUUCUAUGAGAGUUGGGAAAGUAGAGAGAAAAAAUGAAUAAAUAAAUAAAUAAUAAAAAGUAAAAUAAAAAAUAAAAAAACAAAUGAAGAGCUGGGAUGGGGAGCCGACCACUCCCGUCGUCCUGGAAGAAGCCUCUAGAAGAAAUGAAGAAAAAUGGAGAUGAAAGGAAAGGGAAGAGAGAAGAUGGCGGGUGUGUGGCCAAUGCGCCGCGUUAGGAGAGAGAAUGGUGGCCUUAGGGGAAGCUCAAAAAUUGGGCGGGUCACUAUUCUUGGGAAAUGGGGGAAAAGAAAAUGGGGAAGGGGCCCAGCCAAAGGAAAUUUUGGGGAAGAGAGAGAAAAAUGGGAGGGAAAAAAGAAAAGAAAAUAAAAAAAAAUAAAAAAUGAGAGAUGAGAUGGUG
rnacentral:lncRNA from 1 species